UACGGAGGGGCUAGCGUUGUUCGGAAUUACUGGGCGUAAAGCGCACGUAGGCGGCGAUCUAAGUCAGAGGUGAAAGCCCGGGGCUCAACCCCGGAAUAGCCUUUGAGACUGGAUUGCUAGAAUCCGGGAGAGGUGAGUGGAAUUCCGGAGUGUUAGAGGUGAAAAUUCGUAGAUAUUCGGAAGAAACACCAGUGGCGAAGGCGGCUCACGUGGACCGGCAUUGACGCUGAGGUGCGAAAGCGUGGGAGCAACAGGAGUAGAUACCG
rnacentral:rRNA from 1 species